GCCCAUUUCCUGGUCGGAUGGGGCCGGCGGGGGGCGGCGGCGGCGGGGUCGGUCCCUGUCCCUGACGGGCUCGGUGGUCGCCGGUGACGCCGCCAGGCAGCGAUGCGAGCCCCGGGCCCUGCCGGCAGCCGGCCCCCGCCGUGACCCGGUGGGGCUGCGCACGCCGGCCCCGCGGGGCGCAUGGAGGCUCCCGCCGCCCUCUGCGAGGUGUGACUCCCCGCGGGACAGCGCGGCUCGGCCCCGCCAGGCGAGCGGCCCCGGGCCCCCCUCAGCGGCCGCGGCAGGAGCCAGGAGGGCUCGGGAGUGACACCGGCAUCGCCCCCGUCGCCGGCGGCUGCCGCCUCCUGAGACAUGAAGAAGUUCUUCGACUCGCGCCGGGAGCAGGGCGGCUCCGGGCCCGGGUCGGGCACCAGCGGCGGCGGCGGCGGCAGCAGCGGCCCGGGCAGCGGCUACAUCGGCCGGGUCUUCAGCAUCGGCCGGCACCAGGUCACCGUGGAUGAGGUGCUGGCGGAAGGUGGCUUUGCAAUCGUGUUCCUGGUGAGGACGAGCAAUGGGGUGAAGUGUGCCCUGAAGAGGAUGUACGUCAAUAACGAGUACGACCUGCAGGUCUGCAAGAGAGAGAUCCAGAUUAUGCGGGAUCUGUCUGGCCACAAGAACAUUGUGGGCUACAUCGACUCCAGCAUCAACUCCGUCAGCAGCGGCGACGUGUGGGAGGUGCUGAUCCUCAUGGACUUCUGCCGGGGGGGACAGGUGGUGAACCUGAUGAACCAGCGCCUGCAGACCGGCUUCACCGAGAGCGAGGUCCUGCAGAUCUUCUGUGACACCUGCGAGGCCGUGGCCAGGCUGCACCAGUGCAAGACCCCCAUCAUCCACAGGGACCUCAAGGUUGAAAACAUCCUGCUGCAUGACCGUGGCCACUACGUCCUGUGUGACUUUGGGAGUGCUACCAACAAAUUCCAGAACCCUCAAACCGAGGGGGUGAAUGCAGUCGAGGAGGAGAUCAAGAAGUACACGACGUUGUCCUACAGAGCACCAGAGAUGGUGAACCUGUACAGUGGCAAACUCAUCACCACAAAAGCAGACAUUUGGGCCCUGGGCUGUUUGCUGUACAAGCUGUGCUACUUCACCUUGCCCUUUGGGGAGAGCCAGGUGGCCAUUUGUGAUGGCAACUUCACCAUCCCAGACAACUCGAGGCACUCCCAGGACAUGCACUGCCUCAUCCGGUACAUGCUGGAGCCAGACCCUGAUAAGAGACCUGACAUUUAUCAGGUCUCCUACUUUGCUUUCAAACUGGCCAAGAAGGAGUGCCCAGUGCAGAAUGUGCAGAACUCUCCAAUCCCUGCUAAACUCCCAGACCCAGUUAAAGCAAGUGAAGCUGCUGCAAAGAAGAGUCAACCAAAGGCCAGGCUCACAGACCCCAUCCCCACGACAGAAACCUCCAUAGCACCCCGGCAGAGACCUAAAGCAGGACAGACCCAGCCCAACCCUGGGAUUCUGCCCAUCCAGCCAGCCCUGACACCCAGGAAGAGAGCCACAGCCCAGGCAGCCAUUCAGCCACAGGUUGCAGGCCCGGCUGCCCUGGGCAGUGCCCAGCCCUCGCUCCCUGCCAGCACCCCCCAGCCAAAAGCAGCCCCCCAGCAGCCUCCAGCCCAGCCCCAGGCCAAGCCGGCAGCAGCGCCCCAGGCACAGCCCCAGGUCCCCUCGACACAGCCCCAGGCCACUCCUCAGCAUCAGCAGCAGCAGCUUUUCCUGAAGCAGCAGCUCCUGCAGCAGCAGCAGCAGCAACAGCAGCAGCAGGCUGCCUACUUCCAGCAGCAGCAGCAGCAGCAGAUGAUGCAGGCACAGCAGUUCCCAGUGAUGCAGCAAGGAGCGCCUGCACAGCAGCAGCAGCUGAUGCAGAACUACUACCAGCAGCAGCAGCAGCAGCAGCAGCUGCUGGCCCAGCAGGCAGCUAUGCAGCAGAAGACCACAGCAGCAGCAGCAGCUCAGCAGAAGCAGCAGCCCCAGGCCCAGCCCAGCACAGCACCGCCAGCACAGCCACAGGAGCAGGGGGCACAGGUGCAGGCUCAGAGGGAGCAGCAGCAGGCUCAGGGGCAGAAGCUGGGCUCCCUGACGCCGCCGUCCUCGCCCAAGGCGCAGCGCGCGGGGCACCGCCGCAUCCUCAGCGACGUCACCCACAGCGCCGUGUUCGGCGUGCCCGCCAGCAAAUCCACCCAGCUGCUGCAGGCUGCGGCUGCUGAGGCCAGCCUCAACAAGUCCAAAUCUGCUUCCACCACGCCCUCGGGCUCGCCAAGGACCUCACAGCAGAAUGUCUACAACCCCCCUGACGUGUCCACGUGGAACCCCUUUGAUGAUGACAACUUCUCCAAGCUGACAGCUGAGGAGCUGCUGAACAAGGACUUUGCAAAGCUGGGGGAUGGGAAAGCUCCAGAAAAGGCAGGCAGCUCCACAGAGAACCUGAUGCCAGGUUUCCAGCCCGCAGCCCCCACAGCCCCAGCAGAUGCCUUUGGUGGCUCCUCCUUCCCUGCUGGGCCAGCUGAAAAAACGAAAGACAUUCUGAGUUUGGACUCUAGCCCUCCUCUUCUGACUGUGCCUGAUCCUUUCAUUCCUCUCCCGUUAUCUGACACCCCAGAAAAACUGAUUGAGGGCCUCAAAUCUCCCGAGCCUGCUCUGCUGCUCCCCGAGCUGCUGCCUCUGGCUGACCCCUUCGGCAGCACGGCAGACACUGCCAAUGGCAAAGCUGCUGUGGCUGUGGAGAGCCUGAUCCCGGGGCUGGAGGCCCCUCUGGCCCAGCGCCUCGUGUCCCACAGCGAGUCCGUGGCCUCCACCAGGACAGACUCUCUCACUGGGGAAGACUCUCUGCUUGACUGUUCUCUGCUCUCUAACCCUGCUGCUGACCUCGUGGAUGAGUUUGCUCCUGUAGCUUUCACAGCUCAGCCUCACAAAGCCCUUUUCCUCUCCCUGUGCAUGAGAGCCAGAGAGGCAGCCUGAGCUCUCACACCAUGCUCAUGACCAAGAACACCUUCAGUCCUUGGGAGCUUACCCAGGCCUCUGCCACAGCUCCAGCUGUCCAGCUGAGCCUUCAGACUGGUCAGGUGGGCAUUCUAGAAACAACAGUGGAAGCUCUGAGUCCAGUCUUCCCAACAUAGCCAGGUCUCUGCUGCUGGUGGAUCAGCUCAUAGACCUGUAGCAGUGACACAGUAGCAGAUGCAGUUUCUGUACCCACACCUCCGGUUUCCUUGCCAGAAGAGUUUCCUUCCUUGUGCUUCUUUGGGGCUUUUUUGUUUCUUUUUGUUUUUCUUUUUUCUCCUUUAAUUAAGAGAAAAAAUUUGCCAACAGGAGACUGUCACCCACCUCUCUCCCUGUCUUGCUGUGCCCUGGGGAAGGUUCUGGCUCAGUUCUCCAGGCAGCCUGGCCUCUCUCAGGCUGGUAGAGCCCUGGGGGUUCCCUCUGCCCUGUCCCAUGGCUGUGUCCAGGGGAGCACCCUGCAGACCCCCCUGGCCCUGCUCAGGGAGCUGGGGCUGCUCUGGGACCCUGCCCCACCUCCUGUCCCCGGGGCAGGGCGUGAGCAGCGCGGCCCCACCUUUGCUUUUUUGUUUGGGCUCUGCUUCUGCUUCUGGUUCUGUUCCCCCAGGGCUGGGCAGGAGCAGGGGCCAGGGGACAGUGGCAGGGACAUCCCUCAGCUGCAGGACACGGGGUAGGAGAGCUGGUGGCUCUGAAUUGCUUCAGAGGAGGAGGAAGCCCCGAGUUCCUCCCGGCCAUACUCUGGUGAUGGUGCACGUGAAGAGUUUUCCAGCUGCCCCCAGAUCAUGGUUUGCUGUUUGACAAUCCUGCUGGAAACAAACUGCACUUCCUGGGGGAGGGAAAACAGAGAAAAGGAAAAAGAAAAAAACCAGAUUGUUAAAGCUGCAGAAAUGACCCUAAGUGAAGCGUGACAAGGUUUUGAACCAAAUCCAUGUGAGUAUGGCUGUGACUAGUGUUUCACUGACCUUUUUUGGGGUGAAAAGGGCAGCAGCAGAUGUAUUUUCUGUGACUUCUUUUCUGUGUUUGACUGGAAAAAAAAGAAAAUCCCCUCAACCUACUGUAAAUGGUGUAUGAAACAAAUUGUCCUACGGCUGUUUGUCUAUUUUUAAUCCUGGUUUUAGUCAAGCAUCUGGUAUCUGUUCUGGGUUCUCCAUUUUCUCUUGUAACUGCUAUAGUGCACCCCAGUUCAGUAUGGAGCCAUUGUUUCAGUAGACAAAGAUUCCUGUGGGCCUUUCUCCACCCCAGUCUCUGUGACCACGCAUGCCCUGGGUUCAGGUGGUUUGAAAUCAGUGCUGCUACAACUCGAUGGGUUCUCCCUUUUCCUUCCCCCUCUCGCUUGGUUUGUCCGUAGCUGGAUCCGCUCAGCUCGUUCUCCUUGGCUUACCACGAAGCCUGGAAUUUCUAUCUCGUGUUUGAAAGCCCUCUCUGAGCAGAAGGACUCUUCCUCUGUAGUGGAAUUCUCCCCAGCUUCCUGCUCCCCGUGUUUGUGUUUGUAGCUGUAUUAGUACCAGUGCAGUUCCCACGUGCGAAAGUGCGAGCGACUGAAUGUCUGUGCUGACCUCGCUGGGAAGAACCCCAAGUUUGUGACUCCUCCUCUCCUCUCUCCAUCUCCUCCCCAGCCCAACACUUAGUUUAACAAAUUCUGUACAUAGAGCUCCCAUCGGUUGUGUCUCUACAUUACUCUUCUUUUAAAACCUACACUUACUAAUAAAAGUAUUGCUUACGUGUGUUGUAUCAUUACAUGUGUAUACUGCACUUUCCAGGAGAAGCUUUACAUGAGAACUAUGGAAAUGACCUUAGUAAAAUUGUGGAUAGAACUUUAUUAUUUUUUUGUUUUAUAUUCCUAAAGCACAGGCGAGCUGGACUGGAAAACACGAAGAUGCUAUAGAUAGAAAGUUAUUGUAUAGUCAGAUACUGAGAUUAUAUGAAAAGAGAAUGGAUUUUAAAAAGUAACCAUCUACUGUAUAUUAGAAACAAAGAUUUCUGUGAAUUAAAGUACUUUUAAAGAAUGUUUAAGAUUUUAAAUCUAAUGGCGCUUGUUCAAGGGUUCUGGAAAAAAAAUGACAAAUGCACUGGGUUGUUAAUAAUGCUAUUAAAUAAGCAGAUGUGAAUGUUUA